GACGAACGCUGGCGGCGUGCUUAACACAUGCAAGUCGAACGGAAAGGCCCUGCUUUUGUGGGGUGCUCGAGUGGCGAACGGGUGAGUAACACGUGAGUAACCUGCCCUUGACUUUGGGAUAACUUCAGGAAACUGGGGCUAAUACCGGAUAGGAGCUCCUGCUGCAUGGUGGGGGUUGGAAAGUUUCGGCGGUUGGGGAUGGACUCGCGGCUUAUCAGCUUGUUGGUGGGGUAGUGGCUUACCAAGGCUUUGACGGGUAGCCGGCCUGAGAGGGUGACCGGCCACAUUGGGACUGAGAUACGGCCCAGACUCCUACGGGAGGCAGCAGUGGGGAAUAUUGCACAAUGGGCGGAAGCCUGAUGCAGCAACGCCGCGUGCGGGAUGACGGCCUUCGGGUUGUAAACCGCUUUCGCCUGUGACGAAGCGUGAGUGACGGUAAUGGGUAAAGAAGCACCGGCUAACUACGUGCCAGCAGCCGCGGUGAUACGUAGGGUGCGAGCGUUGUCCGGAUUUAUUGGGCGUAAAGGGCUCGUAGGUGGUUGAUCGCGUCGGAAGUGUAAUCUUGGGGCUUAACCCUGAGCGUGCUUUCGAUACGGGUUGACUUGAGGAAGGUAGGGGAGAAUGGAAUUCCUGGUGGAGCGGUGGAAUGCGCAGAUAUCAGGAGGAACACCAGUGGCGAAGGCGGUUCUCUGGGCCUUUCCUGACGCUGAGGAGCGAAAGCGUGGGGAGCGAACAGGCUUAGAUACCCUGGUAGUCCACGCUGUAAACGGUGGGUACUAGGUGUGGGGUCCAUUCCACGGGUUCCGUGCCGUAGCUAACGCUUUAAGUACCCCGCCUGGGGAGUACGGCCGCAAGGCUAAAACUCAAAGGAAUUGACGGGGCCCCGCACAAGCGGCGGAGCAUGCGGAUUAAUUCGAUGCAACGCGUAGAACCUUACCUGGGUUUGACAUGGAUCGGGAGUGCUCAGAGAUGGGUGUGCCUCUUUUGGGGUCGGUUCACAGGUGGUGCAUGGCUGUCGUCAGCUCGUGUCGUGAGAUGUUGGGUUAAGUCCCGCAACGAGCGCAACCCUUGUUCAUUGUUGCCAGCACGUUAUGGUGGGGACUCAGUGGAGACCGCCGGGGUCAACUCGGAGGAAGGUGGGGAUGACGUCAAGUCAUCAUGCCCCUUAUGUCCAGGGCUUCACGCAUGCUACAAUGGCUGGUACAGAGAGUGGCGAGCCUGUGAGGGUGAGCGAAUCUCGGAAAGCCGGUCUCAGUUCGGAUUGGGGUCUGCAACUCGACCUCAUGAAGUCGGAGUCGCUAGUAAUCGCAGAUCAGCAACGCUGCGGUGAAUACGUUCCCAGGGCU
rnacentral:rRNA from 1 species